GAUGAACGCUGGCGGCGUGCCUAAUACAUGCAAGUCGAGCGAACGGACGAGAAGCUUGCUUCUCUGAUGUUAGCGGCGGACGGGUGAGUAACACGUGGAUAACCUACCUAUAAGACUGGGAUAACUUCGGGAAACCGGAGCUAAUACCGGAUGAUAUUUUGAACCGCAUGGUUCAAAAGUGAAAGACGGUCUUGCUGUCACUUAUAGAUGGAUCCGCGCUGCAUUAGCUAGUUGGUAAGGUAACGGCUUACCAAGGCAACGAUGCAUAGCCGACCUGAGAGGGUGAUCGGCCACACUGGAACUGAGACACGGUACAGACUCCUACGGGAGGCAGCAGUAGGGAAUCUUCCGCAAUGGGCGAAAGCCUGACGGAGCAACGCCGCGUGAGUGAUGAAGGUCUUCGGAUCGUAAAACUCUGUUAUUAGGGAAGAACAGAUGUGUAAGUAACUGUGCACAUCUUGACGGUACCUAAUCAGAAAGCCACGGCUAACUACGUG
rnacentral:rRNA from 1 species